GGAAGGAUCAUUAGUGAAUUUAGCGCGUCUGCUUCAGCAGAGCGUGACCUCCACUUUCUAACUCUGUGCACACAUUGGCGGAGGGGGAACUUGAGCAAUCUUGCGUACCCCUCUGCGGCUCAUUUUAUAACACUAGUUAAAGUAUGUAACGAAAUAUCGAAACAAAAAAAAACUUUCAACAACGGAUCUCUUGGCUCUCGCAUCGAUGAAGAACGCAGCGAAAUGUGAUAAGUAAUGUGAAUUGCAGAAUUCAGUGAAUCAUCGAAUCUUUGAACGCACCUUGCGCUCCUUGGUAUUCCGAGGAGCAUGUCUGUUUGAGUGUCAUGAACUCUUCAACCCAUCAGUUUCUUAUGAACUGGCUGGUGUUUGGUUUCUGAGCGCUGCUGGUCCACGGAUCGAGCUCGUUCGUAAUGCAUUAGCAUCUCUAAUUCGACUUCGGAUUGACUCAGUGUAAUAGACUAUUCGCUGAGGACACGCCUCACGGUGUGGCCGAAUGAGAUCUCAGUAGAAGCUGCCAACCCUUCUAGUCAAUUUAAGAUUAGACCUCAGAUCAGAUAGGAUUACCCGCUGAACUUAAGCAUAUCAAUAAGCGGAGGAAAAGAAACUAACAAGGAUUCCCCUAGUAACGGCGAGUGAAGCGGGAAGAGCUCAAAUUUGAAAUCUGGCACUUUCAGUGUCCGAGUUGUAAUCUCGAGAAGUGUUUUCCGCGCCGGACCGCAUACAAGUCUGUUGGAAUACAGCGUCAUAGUGGUGAGAACCCCGUAACUGAUGCGGAUGCCCGGUGCUUUGUGAUACACUUUCGAAGAGUCGAGUUGUUUGGGAAUGCAGCUCAAAAUGGGAGGUAAAUUCCUUCUAAAGCUAAAUAUUGGCGAGAGACCGAUAGCGAACAAGUACCGUGAGGGAAAGAUGAAAAGCACUUUGGAAAGAGAGUUAACAGUACGUGAAAUUGUUGGAAGGGAAACGCUUGAAGUCAGACUUGCUAUUCGGAGUUCAGCCGCAAGGUGUAUUCUUCGAUUUGCAGGCCAGCAUCAGUUUUCGGGGAUGGAAAAUCGUGGUUUGAAGGUAGCAGCUUCGGCUGUGUUAUAGCUUUCCACUGGAUUCAUCUUUGGGGACUGAGGAACGCAGCACGCUUUUUGCAAGGCCCUCGGGCUUUUCGUGCUUAGGAUGCUGGUGGAAUGGCUUUAAACGACCCGUCUUGAAACACGGACCAAGGAGUCUAACAUGCUUGCGAGUGUUUGGGUGUCAAACCCGGACGCGCAAUGAAAGUGAAUGUAGGUGGGAACCGCAAGGUGCACCAUCGACCGAUCUGGAUUUUCUAAGAUGGAUUUGAGUAAGAGCAAUUAUGUUGGGACCCGAAAGAUGGUGAACUAUGCCUGAAUAGGGCGAAGCCAGAGGAAACUCUGGUGGAGGCUCGUAGCGGUUCUGACGUGCAAAUCGAUCGUCAAAUUUGGGUAUAGGGGCGAAAGACUAAUCGAACCAUCUAGUAGCUGGUUCCUGC
rnacentral:misc_RNA from 1 species